CGGACGGGUGAGUAAUGCCUAGGAAUCUGCCUGGUAGUGGGGGACAACGUUUCGAAAGGAACGCUAAUACCGCAUACGUCCUACGGGAGAAAGCAGGGGACCUUCGGGCCUUGCGCUAUCAGAUGAGCCUAGGUCGGAUUAGCUAGUUGGUGAGGUAAUGGCUCACCAAGGCGACAUCCGUAACUGGUCUGAGAGGAUGAUCAGUCACACUGGAACUGAGACACGGUCCAGACUCCUACGGGAGGCAGCAGUC
rnacentral:rRNA from 1 species